UACGGGGGGGGCAAGCGUUGUUCGGAAUUACUGGGCGGAAAGGGCUCGAGGGUGGCCAACUAAGUCAGAGGUGAAAUCCCUCAGCUUAACUGGGGAACUGCGUCUGAUACUGGAUGGCUUGAGUUUGGGAGAGGGAUGCGGAAUUCCAGGUGUAGCGGUGAAAUGCGUAGAUAUCUGGAGGAACACCGGUGGCGAAGGCGGCAUCCUGGACCAACACUGACACUGAGGAGCGAAAGCCAGGGGAGCAAACGGG
rnacentral:rRNA from 1 species